rnacentral:rRNA from 1 species
AGUGAGCGCUGGCGGUAGGCCUAACACAUGCAAGUCGAACGGCAGCACAGUAAGAGCUUGCUCUUACGGGUGGCGAGUGGCGGACGGGUGAGGAAUACAUCGGAAUCUACUUUUUCGUGGGGGAUAACGUAGGGAAACUUACGCUAAUACCGCAUACGACCUACGGGUGAAAGCAGGGAAUCUUCGGACCUUGCGCGAUUGAAUGAGCCGAUGUCGGAUUAGCUAGUUGGCGGGGUAAAGGCCCACCAAGGCGACGAUCCGUAGCUGGUCUGAGAGGAUGAUCAGCCACACUGGAACUGAGACACGGUCCAGACUCCUACGGGAGGCAGCAGUGGGGAAUAUUGGACAAUGGGCGCAAGCCUGAUCCAGCCAUACCGCGUGGGUGAAGAAGGCCUUCGGGUUGUAAAGCCCUUUUGUUGGGAAAGAAAAGCAGCAGGUUAAUACCCCGCUGUUCUGACGGUACCCAAAGAAUAAGCACCGGCUAACUUCGUG